CGUGCUACAGGGCGUAUACAUAAGACGCAAUAAUGGCGAGAUGGAGCAAAUCUAUAAAAUACGUCCCAGUUCGGAUUGGAGUCUGCAACUCGACUCCUUGAAGCCGGAAUCGCUAGUAAUCGUAAAUCAGCCAUGCUACGGUGAAUACGUUCCCGGGUCUUGUACUCACCGCCCGUCACACCAUGGGAGUUGAUUUCACUCGAAGCCCAAAUACCAAACCGGUUAUGGUCCACAGUGGAAUCAGCGACUGGGGUGAAGUCGUAACAAGGUAACCGUAGGAGAACCUGCGGUUGGAUCACCUCCU
rnacentral:rRNA from 1 species